GCUUCGAUAGUAUAGCGGCUAGUACGAGGGUCUCAUAGUUCACUGUGCGCAUCAAACGAUGUGUAAUCCCUAGAUCUGAGUUCGAUUCUCAGUCGAGGCA